rnacentral:rRNA from 1 species
CUACGGGAGGCAGCAGUGGGGAAUAUUGCACAAUGGGCGCAAGCCUGAUGCAGCCAUGCCGCGUGUAUGAAGAAGGCCUUCGGGUUGUAAAGUACUUUCAGCGGGGAGGAAGGGAGUAAAGUUAAUACCUUUGCUCAUUGACGUUACCCGCAGAGGAAGCACCGGCUAACUCCGUGCCAGCAGCCGCGGUAAUACGGAGGGUGCAAGCGUUAAUCGGAAUUACUGCGCGUAAAGCGCACGCAGGCGGUUUGUUAAGUCAGAUGUGAAAUCCCCGGGCUCAACCUGGGAACUGCAUCUGAUACUGGCAAGCUUGAGUCUCGUAGAGGGGGGUAGAAUUCCAGGUGUAGCGGUGAAAUGCGUAGAGAUCUGGAGGAAUACCGGUGGCGAAGGCGGCCCCCUGGACGAAGACUGACGCUCAGGUGCGAAAGCGUGGGGAGCAAACAGGAUUAGAUACCCGGGUAGUC